rnacentral:rRNA from 1 species
AUUGAACGCUGGCGGCAUGCCUUACACAUGCAAGUCGAACGGUAACAGGUCUUCGGAUGCUGACGAGUGGCGAACGGGUGAGUAAUACAUCGGAACGUGCCUAGUAGUGGGGGAUAACUACUCGAAAGAGUGGCUAAUACCGCAUGAGAUCUACGGAUGAAAGCAGGGGAGCGCAAGACCUUGUGCUACUAGAGCGGCCGAUGGCAGAUUAGGUAGUUGGUGGGAUAAAAGCUUACCAAGCCGACGAUCUGUAGCUGGUCUGAGAGGACGAUCAGCCACACUGGGACUGAGACGCGGCCCAGACUCCUACGGGAGGCAGCAGUGGGGAAUUUUGGACAAUGGGCGCAAGCCUGAUCCAGCAAUGCCGCGUGCAGGAUGAAGGCCUUCGGGUUGUAAACUGCUUUUGUACGGAACGAAAAGCCCUGGGUUAAUACCCUGGGGUCAUGACGGUACCGUAAGAAUAAGCACCGGCUAACUACGUGCCAGCAGCCGCCGUAA